rnacentral:rRNA from 1 species
UCUCCUGGAAACGGGUGGUAAUGCCGGAUGCUCCAUCACACCGCAUGGUGUGUUGGGAAAGCCUUUGCGGCAUGGGAUGGGGUCGCGUCCUAUCAGCUUGAUGGCGGGGUAACGGCCCACCAUGGCUUCGACGGGUAGCCGGCCUGAGAGGGCGACCGGCCACAUUGGGACUGAGAUACGGCCCAGACUCCUACGGGAGGCAGCAGUGGGGAAUAUUGCACAAUGGGCGCAAGCCUGAUGCAGCGACGCCGCGUGAGGGAUGGAGGCCUUCGGGUUGUAAACCUCUUUUGUUAGGGAGCAAGGCAUUUUUUGUUGAGUGUACCUUUCGAAUAAGCACCGGCUAACUACGUGCCAGCAGCCGCGGUAAUACGUAGGGUGCAAGCGUUAUCCGGAAUUAUUGGGCGUAAAGGGCUCGUAGGCGGUUCGUCGCGUCCGGUGUGAAAGUCCAUCGCUUAACGGUGGAUCCGCGCCGGGUACGGGCGGGCUUGAGUGCGGUAGGGGAGACUGGAAUUCCCGGUGUAACGGUGGAAUGUGUAGAUAUCGGAAAAGAACACCA